CUGCCUGGGGCGUGGGUGGGGAGGUUUGGCUGCUCGCUCGGGUCGACCAGCAUUUCCCCGCGCCCAGCCAUCCGCGGGGCCUCGGAACGGGGAGAGAGAGGAUCUUCCCCGCCGGAGCGCUGGUGGCUCAGCGUCCAGACUCGUGGGUCACCUUUUAGGGCGUUUGUUUCCCUUCCUCGGUACCCCCGCUCCAAAUUUGGCCAGCCCGCGCGAAUCCUGCUCGUAGAGUUCGUUUAGCGGGCCUCGACGCGUCCUGCUCCCGCUUGACUGGAACGGGCAGGCUUGCGUGACGAGGACGGCUCGUGUCUCUAGGAGCUGGGGAGCGGUCGAGACGUUUCUUCGGUCCCCGGGUACGGCCUGGGUUAUAGUUCGCGGCUGAGACUGAGCGUGCCCCACGCGGUGUCCUGGGCCACAUUAGUCAGUUUUUCCGUCUCAGCUGAGAGUUGCCGUGUCUCCGUCGGCCGUCCCUGGAUCAAGGACCCCCGGAGUGGGACAGGUCGAACUCGCGGAACAGGGCUGCGCGUACGGCUCUCCCCGCAACAACGCGGGUUCUCGCCGCCUGGGGCUCAGGCCCGCAGCAGAGACGGGAGGCGGGGAAGCUGCUCCCCGGCGCCCACUGUCGUUUCUCCAGGCUCUGCGGUCGUACGAGGCCGGGCUGUGUCUACACGGGGACCGCCUAUUGUCCCACCUUUUCCCCUUGCGGCCCUCGACCCCACACUCACGAGUUCCCUCACCGCGGGUGUUAACAGGAAACGGAGCGAGUAAGAAAGGAGCCCCAUGCGCGUCUCCAGUCCUGCCUGGGUUCGGCGGUCAGAAGCGCGAAACAAAUAUUUGAGAUAGAAAGCGUCCGCGGCCGUCCCGUGGAUGGCUCUAAGGAAACGCGAGCCUGGCGCCCCUUUAGUCUCAGAAGAGCCUCUGAACACGCGUGAACGGGAGGAUGCGGGAGAGAGAAAUGCAAUCUCCGGCGCACUCGGAGGGAACGCGUGCGGAGUGGUGACGCUGUGCCUUCUGCGCCCUACGAUCCGGAUUUGUUCCGGUGGCGUUCAUGCCGGGUAGUUGUAUCUGGGUGAUCAUCGCCGACAGGUCGACUAGAUAGCCAGACAACUUUGGUGCUUUGAAAUCUGCUAUAAUGCAGGUUAGUAGGGAGAAGGUAGGGACAACCCACUCCAAUACUCUUUCCUGGAAAAUCCCAGGGGCGGAGGAGCCUGGUAGGCUCCAGUCCAUAGGGUCCGACAGGACUGACUUCACUUUCACUUUCAUGCAUUGAAGAAGGAAAUGGCAACCCACUCCAGUGUCCUUGCCUGCAGAAUCCCAGGGACGGGGAAGCCUGGUGGGCUGCCGUCUAUUGGGUCACACAGAGUCGGACACGACUGAAGCGACUUAGGAGCAGCAGAAGCAGGUUUUAGUAAGUGAAAGAAAUCUAUAAUAACGAAAAUUACUAAGCGUUGUUACUCGACGAUACUGUAAUUAUUACUGUUGUCUGUAAUUUUGAAGUUUAUCCACAGAACAGCUGCUCAAAGAUGACCAAACAGGAGUUUCAGUAUGUCUAAGCACUUGUUUAAAAGCAGAGAAAACUGCAACCCAGGAGGCCUGGCCCAUUCCCCGCAGCAGCCAUUUGGGAAAUCCAGACCCCCAAACUCUGCUGCAGUAGGCCUCAAGGUCCCCUCUGGGUCAGUGACUGUUUGCUUCUGUAUCCUUUCCAACUGGCAACAUCGCUGGGCACAUGCUCCUCUAAGCAAUCCCAUGGGCGCCUCUCUUCCCCGCAGCCGCCCUCCAGCUUCCCUAGGCACUAGCUCUGAGCAGGACGUGCCUUCCUGGUUUGCUAGCACUCCUAUGCGUACCCCUAGUCUCAGCCUAAUGCAAGUGGUGCCGGCUGACCCCUUGCAACCCAAAUAGUAGCUGGGAAAUGCACCUACUCGUGUAUUUUAAGGUCUUUUAUAAACAUGAUAAUGGAAGCGUAAUAUUGAGUGAGGAACACGUGUAACAUUGUUGAUUUCCUGUUUAUAGGGCUCUUUAUAACUUUUCCAUCCUAAAACUAAAGCUAUUCAAGGAGGGGAGAGAGGCUCAAGAAGCAAGUGAUAUACAAAUAUGAGAUACAUAUUAUGUAAGUAAUUAUGGCUAAUUUGGAUUGUCGUAUGGCAGAAACCAACAGAAAACGGGAAAACAAUUUUCCACCGAUGAAAAAAUUUUUGAAAGAAAUAAUACUAAAGCUAUUCGAAUGCCUUUUUGUAUGCAAAGACUUAGUUCCACAUUACUCUUUUCACUUUUUCAGCAGAAUUCGAAGACUGGCAUGACAAGAGGUUUUGACAUCUUUUAAAAAUUGCUUUCUAGAAACAUAUCCCUUUAUGUAUGUGUGUACUGCUCACUAGUCUUGAGUUGUCGUACUUUGAAAAAAAUUAAAUGUGGAAGGGAUUGUUUUAUUUUUUGCUUUGAGACCAAUAUUUUAUGUUUUCGUGUUUUUUAUUCAUUACGGAAUCUGAGUUGUGUGUCCUCCGAUUGAUACUCGAUAAAGACUCAGAGGGACCAUUCAGCAGCUGUGGAACUUUCUAUAUUCUGCCAGAAUGUUCAUGGGCUCCUCUGCCUGCAGUUGCAGCGUGAAAAUCGCCUGAAGGCAGAGAGCGGCGGAGUCAUCAGGAAGGGGAACCCUCUGCAGGGCCCUAGAGUGGGCUCACACGCGCUGACAAAGCAAGAGACUUGGCUGGAGGGGCGCCCGGGAGGACAGCAGCAGGGUGAGGAAGCCCCAGGGGCCCUCUCCACCACGUGACCUGCGGUCUCAGGUUUUAUGGUGAUGGGGUUGGUUUCCAGGCUGUCUCUGGCCAAGCAUUCUGACUCAGGGUUCGUUUCAUGCAUUUUGUUCAGCUUUCUAAUUACCAGUUACUACUGCUGAGGAAGUCCAGACACUCUUUGUAUUUAUUUGGAAGCAGAAAAAAUCACCUAACCACCCGUGCUUGAAGGUGUCUUUUGUUUCAUAGUCUUUGUUUUGCUCCUGAACAUGUUAAAAUAAAAUGAAAUAGCACAAGACACACUUAGAUGGCUUUCCUCAACCCCUAGAAGAACUUUAUGCCAAUAAAUUGGGGGUAAGGUCUUGGGAGUCUCUGAAUUUGAGUCCUUCAGGUACUAUCAAGUCACGAAGGCAGUUUUUGCUCCUGUUUUCAUAAGAUCUGUUGAUGUAAUAAGUCGCACUAAAUUUUCCCACAGCUUAUACUGUGGAGAAUUUUUUUUUUCCUGAAUCCCAGUGUCCAUCUUCUUGAUGGGCAAAAAGCAUGAUAAUACUACAUCAUCCACCCAGGGCCCUGCUGUGUGGGAAAGUAUGUCCUGAGGGAGGACAGUUCCCCCGGCAUUGUCAAAUAAAUAAAAGCAACAUGUAACAAAACACCAUGCUUAAUAUACACUAUUUGCAUUUUUAAUUAGGGCAUGAAGGAGAAAUAUACUUCCAUGUUUGCUUACAAGGAACUCUAGAAGGAUCCGUGAAAACAAAAUACUACCUGUGGAGGGCAGAUGGCCCUGGACACACAGGCUUAAUGACAGGAGGCACAAGUUAAGGCAAGUAUAUAAUAUAUCUCUCUACUGUUAACCUCUUUGGAAUUUUCAGUAAGUUGAAUUUUUUAAAACCUCCAAAGAAUACAAUGCAUUUUACUGUUUUUAUUUUACGAUAUUAUUUUACUGUUUUUACCAACUGAAUGAAUUUCUGGUUUGUUUUACCAUGGCUCUUGUUGGGCUUCUCUAAAAUGUCUAUUCACGAGAUUUUUCUGGUGGUUUUGAUGUUUUUAUUUUAACUUUGAUAAGAAACAAAAAUUUUUCUCAACACCCUAGGUAGUUCAGCCUUUUCUUUUUUCCUUCUAUCAGAUGCUUUGUAUACUUUGUGGGUUUGGGCACUAUUUUCAUAACUUUUGUUUGCAAGAAAGAGGAUAAAGCUUCGCUAGUUUGCUAGGGUUGCCAGAAUAAAACACUGCAGCCUGAGGCUUAAAUAACAGCGCUGCAUCCAGGUUAUCCAGCCUCAUAGCAUCCGGCUGUGCAGAGUUCUCCCGCAGUGCUCUGCUUUGUCGUAUCAGCAGUUAUGUUUCCCCUUUGUUACUGAUUUUACUUGUCUUUUCUCUUAGUCAAUAUAGCUAAAGAUUUGUUACUUAUGUCAACCUGGUUGAAGUAACUUUUGUCUACAAUUGAUUUCUUUGGUUUUCCUCUUCUGUAUGUUUAUCUGAGAGCUAAUCUUUACUAUUUUCAUUCCUCCUUCUAGCUUUGAGUUUGGUUUGAUCUCCCUUUUCUACCUACGUGUAAAGAUAGGUUGCUUAUUUGAGCUUUCUUUCAAACGUAUGCAUUAGCAGCUUUACAUUUCAUUGUUGGUGAUGUUUUUGCAGAAUCUCAUACUGCUGGGGUCCAGC
ensembl:lncRNA